CCUGUUGUCCCAGGUAACCAGAGAGGCUGAUACAGCCACUCCUGAGGGACCCUGGCCUCCAGGUCAAAGGGUGGGAGGUCUUUCUGCCCAACAGCUCUGUGGCCAGUCCUCUCCUGCUGCCCACUCACUGGUGUCAGGUGGAGCCCAGUGAUCCCCCAACCAAAAGGCACAUCCCACCCGAAAGCCAACAAGAUCCGUCCGUAGCCACUGUCCUUCAGGCCUGUCUCCCCAGCUGGCCUCCUUCCUCCCACAGCAGCAGGUGAGCCCCACAGAGCUGCUGGGGUUGGCUAUGUUGGGCAGAGUUUAGCUGGAGAGGCAGGAAGGCACUGUGGGGAGGUCCCUGUCCCAGCUCCCACCCCCCCCCCCACCCCCUGAGCCUUUAACACUCAGGAGGACCGGACUCCCUGGCUCUAGGCGGCCUUAAGCCCUGUUGGCUUCUUACUUUUUCACAGUACCCUCAGGGGUCCCUCAUCCUGAAUGUUCCUGUUUCCUAUCCUUACUGUUGCUAAAUCACGGCUGACAUUUUCCUGGCCUGGGACGGAGGCCUCAGAUCUUCAGCCAUUCCUUACAGGAAGUAAAAAGGGGAAGAGGAUAAGGAAAAGUGACCUCUCCAGAGGGAGACACUGGCCUGCGGGGGGUGGAGGUGGGGUGCAGUGGGCCAGUGCCAGUCCUGACAGCCCCCUGGUCAAGCACCUUCCCCUGGGGCACCCUUUCCUUCCCUCCCCACAGCGUCCCCCCGCCCAGGAAAGGCCAGCAAAGCUUCCUUCCUUCCUCUAAGAAGCACAUCUAUCUAGGGCAGGCUCAUCCCCGGUGGCCACACAAUGGCCCUUAUCAGCUGUGGAGUCAGGCGCAGAGACCCAGUGCACACCAAGUCUCACACAUUUCCUGUUUCCACCCAGCGGGUCAGGGCUGGGCCCAGAGGGGCCAUAUCCUGACUGGGGCCAAGAGGAGGCAAAACACUCCCCCUUCCCCUUCCCAGCCUCUCAAUCACUGCUGGACUCGCUCCUCCCAGGCCCAGAGGGGCCCCCCGACAGGAGGCAGGGGUAGGGGUGUGUGAAGACUUAAGGAGGAAGGGCAGAGAUGGGCACACAGACAAGGAUGUUCCACGAGCAGCAGGUGGAGGCAGUGGUCCCUGAGAUGGAGCGCCGGGGCUACAUGGAUCAGAAUAAGGAGAUAGACAACCAGGAUUCCUACGUGGGGAGAAGUGUCCAGGUCUUGAUCUCAUCCCUGUGUUUCUGGUCCUCCAUGACACCACAGCUGCCUGUGUAAUUUGGGAUGGACCACACCACCACUCUGAGCUGUGGCUGCCGUCUGCCAAAUGACAGCUGCCGCGUGGCAGCGGCCACGAGGCUUGUGCAUGUGAGGUGGAGAAAUCGAGACUCAGUAGGGAAGGAACUUUCCCGAAGUCACAGAAUGACUGAGUGGUGAAGUCAGGAUUCAAGGCCAGGCGGCGUGACCAGAUGGCACAAGCUCUUCAUGACCAGGCCACCCCCUCUCGGCCUCCACUUCCUUAUCCGUAAAAUGAAGGUAAUAAUAGUUACCUCACAGGUCUGCUGACACGAUUAAAUAAGAUAAAGCACACAAAAUCUUUAGCACCGUGCCUGGUACAAAAUAAGCUCUCUGUAAUCACUGGCUAUUGUGACUCUUUGUUCUCAAGAGUCAACUGAGACCCCUCUGGCCUGUUCUUUGCUUACUGGCUUCUCUGCGGAGCCCUGAGGCUGUACAGCCCUGGGAGAUAGGAGUGAUUUCCUUCCCUAGGUAACUGCGGUUGUCUCAAGACAGGCGAGCCGUGCCCAGGGAGCUACAGGGCUGUUCUCAAAGAUCGGCAGUUCUCUAAGACCAGGCCUUGCCCUCCAAGGAUGCGGCGGGGCCCAAGUCCUGGAAUGGGGGUGUGGGCAGUUGCUGUUCCGGGUUCUUCCCCCUUGAUUUUAAAAGAACCCAGAAUAGUAAAGCCUAGUCAGAUGGUUCCUGCUCUAAAACCCUUCAGGAGUCUUCACUGCCUCCAGAAUAAAGCUCAAGUCCCCAAGCACGGUUUUCCAGGAGCCUGACACCACUGUCCUACACUGUCUCCCACCACUGUCCCAGACCUGCCUACCAGGGACUCUCUGGCCUCCGAACCUUUACUCUUGCAGUCUGUGCUGCCUGGAACACCCAUCUUCACAGAGAGAGGCCCAGUGGCAAUGCUGCCUUUGUCAGAAAGCCGUCUUUGAGCUCUACUUUCUGCUUCCAAAGCAUUUUGCACCAGUGUUUUCCUUAUGUUAUGCAGUGCUGUCAUUUUCAGUUGGCAUACUGGUCUGUGUGUGAGCCUGGAAGGCAAGCACUGGCUCUCGAGAGGUCCUGCGCAGCCUCAGCCUUAGUACAGAGCCGGCACUUAGCCAGCCUUACUGCUCAUGGAACCUAAACUCAGGAAAACCCCAAACUCAACCUCUCUCCUCAGAAAUGCCCAUCUAAUCCUAACAUACACACUUUAAGAUGCUGAUAACCAGGUUGCAAGUCUACAUUUUGUCUUCUGUUUGAUUCACUUACUAUUUUAUUUUAUUUAAAGAUUUUAUUUAUU